rnacentral:misc_RNA from 1 species
AACGCACAUUGCGCCCCUUGGUAUUCCGAGGGGCAUGCCUGUUCGAGCGUCAUUUCAAACCUCAAGCUUCUGCUUGGUAUUGAGCGGCUUCGCCUUCCUCACGGGAGGCGCCCUCGAAACUCGUGGGCGGUGAUGUCCAGCGUCGUAGCGUAGUCAUAAACACAUUCCGCUUCCGACCGCUUGGGCGACUCACCCGCCAGACGAACCGACAGCUUCUGCUGUCAACUUCUCAAGGUUUGACCUCGGAUCAGGUAGGGAUACCCGCUGAACUUAA